ensembl:lncRNA
GUCCCUUAGUCCUUCCAAGGGAGGUUCUCACAAUACCUGACGGAUGUGAAAGACUUGACUUCUAGACCUGUGUCUGAAGGCCUAGGUUUGCAGUCUGCAGAGCUAUCUACAGGGCUGGUGGGAGACCCCUGAAAAGAAACCGGAGAAGCUUGCUGACAAAAGACUGGAAUUCUGGUAUCUCUUUUGUUUUCACCCAAGUCUGUGGCCACUGACAUUCCUCUUUUCCACCACGGGUGGAUAAUAAGCCCCCUUCUCAGGAAUCGAAAUGCUCUUAUACAUUUUAAUGUGACCUUAGACAGCGCUGUUCAGAAAUCACAGGCCCAUCUGACUACACUUGAGGUUGAAUUGAGCUAAUGGUAUUCACCUCAUCUUUAGAUGCAAAAUUGGAAGAUAAAAAGACCUUGAUGUGAAAAGCAGGGGGGGAUGUGAGGGAGGGGAGGUGGACGGGUUGCGGGGGGCAGGAGGGGGGAAGCAGAUUAGAGAUACUGCUUAAAAAUCACGUGAUUGUGCGUUGAUAACGAAAUGUCUCCUCUUUCCCAAAUCCCCCAUGGGCUGGAGAGAUGUCCUUAUUCUUUUAUUUUUAACGAUAGAAUCUUUUUAUUCCUGAGCUGGGGAAAUUUGAAUGUUGCUGCAUAUGUGGCCAGGAGAUACAUUGACCUUUAGCAAAUCUUAUUUUAAAAAACCCAGAUUGAACAGUUAUUGCAAUAUUUCAGCCCUGUAAGAUGAAAAGAGAGAGAGAGAGAGAGAGAGGAGAGGAGAGAGAGCGCGCCUUCUUCCUCUGUAAUCAGAUGUGGAUUAAAUUUAUUAAAGAUGCUGUGUCUCCUUUUAAAUGACUGGCAACCCUCUUUCUGAAUUAUCAGGAGCUGGCUGGAGACAUGGCACCCUUCUGAUUUCAUCUUAAGAUGACAGAGAAAAGUCUAAAAUGGGAGAAAACUUGGUUCCUCUCUGUUGCUCUUUGGCUCAAACUUGGUUUUCAUCCAUUAAGCCAAAUGCAUUCAGGGCCCCAUGGUGAGGCCCAGAAGGGGAUGAGGGUAAAUGGGAGGGUGGGGGCACAGGGUGUGGUCAGAUCAGCUUCCCAGGAAAGAAGCUGGGAGGGAGCCCCUGCAGCUCACAUAAAAUGCGCAACCCCUAGAGACAGGCUCAUUUCCAGCUUUGACGUGCCUGCUGUCUGUCAAGGGCCCAGUGAAUGCUUCCCACCCGCAGGGCUCAGCCGCCUCCAGGACCCAGGGGCCCAUUGGGCAAUCCAUCACGGAGCACACCUGGCCUGCCCAAAGGACACAGCAGGCAGUGGGAGUCCAGAAAUGAACCAGACCCAUCCCUGGCCAUGGAGGAACACCCAACCUAACUGGAGAGACAAAGGUGGAGAAGGAGAGAGGACUGGGCUUGUGUCGGCUUUGGGGUUCCACCAUCUUGGAACCUGUGCUUCUGGUUUGCCUGGGAAUGCAAGGUGUUUGGAGACUGCCCAGCAAAUAUCAACUGGGGGCUUGGCUGUGUUGCCUUGGGCUUGUUGUUGCUCAGGGACUCAGGCCAACAGAGCAACCAUCACCUGGAAUGUCAUCUAUUGCCAUUACAGGGGAUUUCUGCUUUGGCAUCUUCCUCAUAUUCUCUUGCCACCACCAUGUGAGAAGUACCUUUCACCUCCUGCCAUGAUUCUGAGGCCUCCCCAGCCAUUGGAACUGACACAAGUGUCCACCGAUGGGGUGAAGAGAGGAGAGCCUGGUUCUGGGAAGACGACUGCGGUGAGAUGGAUUGGACUGGGGAGAUGCUGGAGAUGGGGACCUGUUGGGGUUACUGUGUUGUUCAGGUGGCUCCAGGAAAAUCAGAUGCAGCUGGGCUGGUUGACAUCACUGUUACCUCCCUCAUCCUUCCCAUACCCAAAGAAAGUCCUGGUGGAUUUUCCUCUCACUGGCAUGGAAACUGAGGCACAGGGAGGUGAGUGGCUUGCCCAGGCUCAUACAGUUUGA